UUGCUCAUUUCAACAGCACGUAUACUGAAAUUAGAGUGCCAGAGAGAAGAGUAGCAUGGCCCCUGGACAAGGAUGACUCAUAAAUUCGACUUAUUAGAAGCCUUCCU